rnacentral:rRNA from 1 species
GACGAACGCUGGCGGCGUGCCUAACACAUGCAAGUCGAACGGAGAAUUCAGCAAUGAAUUUUUAGUGGCGAACGGGUGAGUAACGCGUAGACAACCUACCUUCUAGAUGGGGACAACACUGCGAAAGUGGUGCUAAUACCGAAUGUUGUAUCUUGGUUGCAUAGCUAAGCUACUAAAGAUGGCCUCUAUUUAUAAGCUAUCACUAGAAGAUGGGUCUGCGUCUGAUUAGCUAGUUGGUGAGGUAACGGCUCACCAAGGCGACGAUCAGUAGCCGGUCUGAGAGGAUGAACGGCCACACUGGGACUGAGACACGGCCCAGACUCCUACGGGAGGCAGCAGUGGGGAAUCUUCCGCAAUGGACGAAAGUCUGACGGAGCAACGCCGCGUGAGUGAAGAAGGUUUUCGGAUCGUAAAACUCUGUUUUCAGGGACGAAUGUGCGAAGUGUAAAUAAUGCUUUGUAAUGACGGUACCUGAGUAGAAAGCCACGGCUAACUACGUGCCAGCCGCCGCGGUAAAAC